rnacentral:lncRNA from 1 species
ACAAUUUUAACAAUAGGUAAGCUCUUGUCUUCUUUUUGCCCUCUGGUUUCAGGCUAAAGGAGAUCCAAAUGAGUGAAUAUGAUGCUGCAACCUAUGAAAGAUUUUCAGGUGCUGUUCGGCGACAGGUGCAGUCCCUCCGAAUCAUCUUGGAUAAUUUACAGGCUAAAGGUAAAGAAAGGCAGUGGCUAAAACACCAAGCUACUGGAGAACUAGAUGAUGCCAAGAUCAUUGAUGGGCUGACUGGAGAAAAAACCAUCUACAAACGUCGGGGUGAGCUGGAGCCACAACUGGGGAGCCCACAAGAGAAACCCAAGCGUCUGCGCCUGGUGGUAGAUGUGUCUGGCAGCAUGUAUCGCUUCAAUGGAGUGGAUGGCCGGCUUGAGCGCUCGAUGGAGGCCGUGUGUAUGGUCAUGGAAGCUUUUGAGAACUAUGAGGAGAAAUUCAAGUAUGACAUCGCUGGACACUCUGGAGAUGACUACAAUAUUGCACUAGUUUCAAUUAACAAAAUCCCCAAGAACAACAAACAAAGACUAGAAAUUCUAAAGACAAUGCAUGCCCACUCUCAGUUCUGCAUGAGUGGAGACCACACGUUAAUGGGGACAGAACAUGCUAUCAAGGAAAUUGUCAAAGAAGAGGCUGAUGAGUACUUUGUCAUAGUCUUAAGUGAUGCAAAUCUGUCACGAUAUGGAAUAAAACCUGCCACAUUUGCCCAAAUCCUUACAAGUGACCCUCAAGUAAAUGCUUUUGCCAUUUUUAUUGGAUCAUUGGGUGAUCAAGCAACCAGGUAAGUGUCAUCUCAGGACACUGCAAAAGGCAGGCAUAGAUAGAAUGAGU